GGGGUGCAGCAGGCGCGAAAACUUUACACUGCGGGAAACCGCGAUAAGGGGACCCCGAGUGCCAGCACCUAGUGCUGGCUGUCCAGUUGUCCAAAUAACAACUGUUAGCAAGGGCCGGGCGAGACCGGUGCCAGCCGCCGCGGUAACACCGGCGGCCCGAGUGGUAGCCGCUAUUAUUGGGUCUAAAGGGUCCGUAGCCGGCUUAUUAAGUCUUUUGGGAAAUCUGGCGGCUCAAUCGUCAGGCGUCCAAAAGAUACUGGUAGGCUUGGGACCGGGAGAGGUGGGAGGUACCCCAGGGGUAGGGGUGAAAUCUCGUAAUCCUUGGGGGACCACCGAUGGCGAAGGCAUCCCACCAGAACGGGUCCGACGGUGAGGGACGAAAGCUGGGGGCACGAACCGGAUUAGAUACCCGGGUAGUCCCAGCUGUAAACGAUGCUCGCUAGGUGUCAGGUGCGGUGCGACCGCAUCUGGUGCCGCAGUGAAAACUUGAAGCGAGUCACCUGGGAAGUACGGUCGCAAGGCUGAAACUUAAAGGAAUUGGCGGGGGAGCAC
rnacentral:rRNA from 1 species